AGAGUUUGAUCCUGGCUCAGGACGAACGCUGGCGGCGUGCUUAACACAUGCAAGUCGAACGGAAGUUACGAGGAAGCUUGCGAAUUGUAACUUUAGUGGCGGACGGGUGAGUAACGCGUGGAUAACCUACCUUAAGGACUGGGAUAACACCGGGAAACUGGUGCUAAUACCGGAUAAGCUCAUCGGAGCACAUGCUUUGAUGAGGAAAGGAGCAAUCCGCUUUAAGAUGGGUCCGCGUCCCAUUAGCUAGUUGGGGGUGUAAGAGACCACCAAGGCAACGAUGGGUAGCCGGCCUGAGAGGGUGGACGGCCACACUGGAACUGAGACACGGUCCAGACUCCUACGGGAGGCAGCAGUGGGGAAUCUUCCGCAAUGGGCGAAAGCCUGACGGAGCAACGCCGCGUGAAUGAUGAAGGCCUUCGGGUUGUAAAAUUCUGUCUUCAGGGAAGAAAAAAAUGACGGUACCUGAGGAGGAAGCCCCGGCUAACUACGUGCCAGCAGCCGCGGUAAUACGUAGGGGGCAAGCGUUGUCCGGAAUUACUGGGCGUAAAGGGCGCGUAGGCGGUUUCUUAAGUCAAGUGGUGAAAACUAUGGGCUCAACCCAUAGCCUGCCUUUGAAACUGGGAGACUUGAGGACAGGAGAGGGGAGUGGAAUUCCCAGUGUAGCGGUGAAAUGCGUAGAUAUUGGGAGGAACACCAGUGGCGAAGGCGGCUCUCUGGCCUGUAACUGACGCUGAGGCGCGAAAGCGUGGGGAGCGAACGGGAUUAGAUACCCCGGUAGUCCACGCCGUAAACGAUGGGUGCUAGGUGUAGGAGGUAUCGACCCCUUCUGUGCCGUAGUUAACACAAUAAGCACCCCGCCUGGGGAGUACGGCCGCAAGGUUGAAACUCAAAGGAAUUGACGGGGGCCCGCACAAGCGGUGGAGCAUGUGGUUUAAUUCGACGCAACGCGAGAACCUUACCAGGGUUUGACAUCCCCUGACAGCCGAGGAAACUUGGUUUUCUGCCUUCGGGCAGACAGGGU
rnacentral:rRNA from 1 species